AGAAGUCCCAAGAGCCUCUGCGGCCCAGCAGCCGGUGAGGCCCCGCCCGAGGUCAAGAGGAGGAAGCUGGCCUUGCCUUGGAGGAACUUAACAAAUCAUAUUCUUCCCUGCUUCGGUCAAGUGUCUGCAGGGAGCGUGGCUGAAGUGGGAUGUUACAAAGCUCCGGUGGAGGCCUCUUUUCCUCCUCCAGAUCCUCCCAGGUUAACAAGUGGUGUGGAGUGUUCCUGUCCUUGGAGUGAGGCCUAAAGAAAAUGUACUGAUCUGCCGGUCCCAUCCAUUAAAUUCAAUACUGAAGACAUUUAUGGGGUGUCCACCAUGCAAAGUCAAGCUUAUCUUUCUGGUGCCUUCCUUUGGAAUCCUCUCUCUGUGUCGUCGUUAAUUUGAACCUGGCAAAGGACACAGAGCACACGUGAAGUGGCUGCGAUCACCCAUGGUCUUUUGCUCUCUCGGCUUUCAGGAAAGGUGGACAGCACACUCGGUACCACACUGCAAAGGUGGGGUUGAACCCAAAGAAUGAAGCCUUAAUAGCGGUAGACCCACCGGCCUCAGACUGGUCUUGCCUUCUGGCGAGUCUUAUCCUGGGCCUUGGGUAACUCAUCAUUUCUACUUCCGGGGUGUAGAGAGUGGGAAAUUAAAAAAGAAGCCAAGAUUUGUUGAGCUCCUGCUACGGUCUGAACGUGUUCCCCUCCUCCCUGUUCACAUGUUGAAAUCCUAGGGCCCACUGUGAUGGCAUUAGGAGGUGGGGCCUGUGGGAGGUGAUAAAGUCAUGAGGAUGGAGCCCUCAGGAGAGGGAUUAGCGUCUUACAAGAGGCCCUGGAGAAGCCUCCUGAACCUUCUGCCAUGUGAGGGUAAGAAGAAACCUGCCAUCUGGGAGGGCCCUCACCCAACUAGGCCAGCGCUCUGGUCUCAGGCUUCCGGACUCUAGUUCCGAGCUAGAGUUUACAGCCACCCAGUCUGUGGUAUUUUGUGACAGCAGACUGAACAGACUCAGACACUCCCCCUGGGCACAUUUUACAGAUACUACGGCAUUGACUCAUCGCUGCAGAUCUGGGCGACAGGUGUGGUUCCCAUUCACACCUGAGAAGACUGAGGCUGGACCAGAGGAGGUAGGACCCUGGAGCCGAGGAGUCUAAACAGCACAGGUGACCAGGUGAGAAGGAGGCACUGUGCCCUCAGGCGUCUCGUUGGAUUUAGGAGGUAUCUGUAAAACACGAAGCCCCUUAGGAUGCACGCUUCUAUUAGCAGAAAACAACCAGAGUAACUUUCUCAUUAUUUGUCUAUAUUUGCUUCCUGGAAUUUGCAAAUCUCAGAUAUUGCUCUGGUAUCAAUGAUUAUGAAUGCUUUUUGGCAGGAGAAAAUGGUUCGAGUCGCAUUCCAAGGGUUGGGAGAACUUCUCCAUCUGUUCUCUUUGAAUCAAAAGGAUCCUGAUAAGGUGUACAAAUAGCUAAAGAAGAAAGUGUGGUUUUCAUCCAAAAAGCACGCAUACAUGGAAAAGCUGAUGAAGAGUGCCUUGUAUCCCCAUCACAUCACUGGCUGACUGGACAAUUUAUAAACAGGAGGGGAAAAAAAGGUCAUAGUUGGAAAUUUCAGCUGAAACUGACACCCCUGUCCAAAUAGCAAAUCAGCGCAGAAUCAAAAAAUUCUAAUUUUACAAUUCACAGAUGCUUCCAAUUAGAACAGGGAAGAUUAAUGUGGUUUCAGCUGUUACUUGAAAAAAUUAAAAUGUGCCAAGGAAACUAAGACAGAGUUGGUACAAAGGAGUUUCUUUUUCUACUGAAAUAUUUACUCCUCCAAAAAUAAUAAUCACGGAGGCUUCAGGCCCCCUUUUUCCUGAGAAGUCACACUUAACACUCUUCAGUUUCUUUUAUGGUUGUGAACACGGCACAGACCCACACAUGCCUCCACUUUGCAAAAUAAACACACACCUUCCUGCUGUCUAGAAGACCGCUAGUUAAUCUGGGUCUCUGAGCAGUAAGCGUUUUGGAACACGGCUCUGUUCUAACAUGAACUUCUGAUUUUUCCAAGCAAAUAAUCAUCAAACCUGAGAGUCUGAAAUUGCCAUUCCUCUAACUCAGGGGCCCCUUGUUUACAGGUAUGUGAAAGAUAAAGAGGCAAAAAAACAUCCUAUGUGUUGAUUUUUCCGAUGCGGAUUUGAGAAGUAGUCACACAAAGUUUUUCCCACUGAGUCAUACAUUUCUGUGGCCUUUGAGAAACGGGCUAGGAGCUCAGAGCCCUAGCAAGACCCUCUGAGACCGUACAGGCCCCUAGGCCAAGGACAAGCUGAACUUGUAAAAGCUCGCAUCCAUUUUAUGCUAGCAUUUACGAGACAAUUCUACGAGCAGGCAUCUGCACCCUAUCUUGAAGCAAUUUGUAAGCGGAAGACUCUGCCCACUUUCAUUCAUUAUAUAAACAUUUCUGGAGCUAUCAGCGCAUAUUAGUCAUGAAAGCUGGAAUUUAAUAAAGGAGAGCAGAAUGCAGUUUUCAAAGAGGACAAAAGUUCACUGGGAAAACAUAUGUACAAACCUCAGGGACCCUGAUUCCUGGAAGCACAUGUAAGAGACAGUUUAAGCGCCUGGAACCAAAUGUCUAAAAGGGCUACUCAUCAAGAGUGAAGCGGGAGGGGGCGCCAGGAGACAUCUGACCUGUCAUUCAGACCAAGUGUAGCCUCCCAACUAUAAAUGUCUUUAAAGGAAGAAGUCUCAAAAAACUCAAGGUCAGGAAUGUUCAAGGACAAGAAAGUGUUUACUUUCAAAUGACCAGGGAAAGAUGCCAGCUUCUUGGGUUAGAGUAAGUCCCAACUGAAUCCACUCAACUCAAAUCACCAGCGUUAUUGUGAAGCUCAAGAGCAGAGGCUCAGACGCACACAGAUGCCAAUCUCAAGUCUGCUGGUUCGUAGCUCAGUGACCUUGACAAAUGACUACCUUUGAGCCUCAGUUUUCUCAUCUGUAAAACAGGGAGAACGAAACAUUUCUAAUAAAGUUGUGUAUGACAAUUAAGAGAAAUAACAUAUGGAAAACAGUACAAUGCCUGGCAGGUUUGGUCAGUGCUCAACAGAAGAAAGCUUAUUUUCCUAUAUUCCAUGUAAAAAAGCUUAGGAAAUCCUUCACAUCCUGGGCUUAUGUUAAUAGAAUAUAAUAAGUAAGGUUAUGAAAAGUUGACUUGAUCUGAUUUAUGUACG